rnacentral:ncRNA from 1 species
CUUCUCUUUUUAGAAUUUGGUUCUGCCUAAUCGCAGAUUAAAAGGGAAUCGUGUGAAAAUCACGAACUGUCGCGCAACUGUAAGUAACUGAAGUCUUUAUUAAAAAUCCACUGUUUUAUCACAAAAUGGGAAGGGAAUAAAGAUGUUACAAGUCAGGAGACCUGCCUUUUUCUUCAAAUAAAA